rnacentral:rRNA from 1 species
GACGAACGCUGGCGGCGUGCCUAAUACAUGCAAGUAGAACGCACAGUUUAUACCGUAGCUUGCUACACCAUAGACUGUGAGUUGCGAACGGGUGAGUAACGCGUAGGUAACCUGCCUGGUAGCGGGGGAUAACUAUUGGAAACGAUAGCUAAUACCGCAUAAUAUUAAUUAUUGCAUGAUAAUUAAUUGAAAGGUGCAAUUGCACCACUACCAGAUGGACCUGCGUUGUAUUAGCUAGUAGGUGAGGUAACGGCUCACCUAGGUGACGAUACAUAGCCGACCUGAGAGGGGGAUCGGCCACACUGGGACUGAGACACGGCCCAGACUCCUACGGGAGGCAGCAGUAGGGAAUCUUCGGCAAUAGACGAAAGGCUGACCGAGCAACGCCGCGUGAGUGAAGAAGGGUGUCGGAUCGUAAAGCUCUGUUGUAAGAGAAGAACGGGUGUGAGAGUGGAAAGUUCACACUGUGACGGUAUCUUACCAGAAAGGGACGGCUAACUACGUG